rnacentral:tRNA from 1 species
GGAGACGUACCGAAGAGGCCAUAACGGGACUGACUCGAAAUCAGUUUGUCGGAUUUACCCGGCACAUGGGUUCGAAUCCCAUCGUCUCCG